AGAGUUUGAUCCUGGCUCAGAACGAACGCUGGCGGCGUGCUUAACACAUGCAAGUCGAACGGGAUCCAGAGCUUGCUCUGGUGAGAGUGGCGCACGGGUGAGUAACGCGUGGAUAACCUGCCCUGGUAUCUGGAAUAACAUCUCGAAAGGGGUGCUAAUACCGGAUAAGCCCACGGGGUCUUCGGACUCUGCGGGAAAAGGUGGCCUCUGAAUAUGCUACCGUAUCAGGAUGGGUCCGCGUACCAUUAGCUAGUUGGUAGGGUAAUGGCCUACCAAGGCUACGAUGGUUAGCUGGUCUGAGAGGAUGAUCAGCCACACUGGAACUGAGACACGGUCCAGACUCCUACGGGAGGCAGCAGUGGGGAAUUUUGCGCAAUGGGGGAAACCCUGACGCAGCAACGCCGCGUGAGUGGUGAAGGCUUUCGGGUCGUAAAGCUCUGUCAGUAGGGAAGAAGUGUAAGGGUGCUAAUACCAUCUUUACUUGACGGUACCUACAAAGGAAGCACCGGCUAACUCCGUGCCAGCAGCCGCGGUAAUACGGGGGGUGCAAGCGUUGUUCGGAUUUAUUGGGCGUAAAGCGCGUGUAGGCGGUUUCUUAAGUCUGAUGUGAAAGCCCUGGGCUCAACCCAGGAAGUGCAUUGGAUACUGGGAGACUUGAAUACGGGAGAGGGUAGUGGAAUUCCUAGUGUAGGAGUGAAAUCCGUAGAUAUUAGGAGGAACACCGGUGGCGAAGGCGGCUACCUGGACCGAUAUUGACGCUGAGACGCGAAAGCGUGGGGAGCAAACAGGAUUAGAUACCCUGGUAGUCCACGCCGUAAACGAUGAGAACUAGGUGUUGCGGGUAUUGACCCCUGCAGUGCCGCAGCUAACGCAUUAAGUUCUCCGCCUGGGAAGUACGGUCGCAAGACUAAAACUCAAAUGAAUUGACGG
rnacentral:rRNA from 1 species